ACCUGCCCAUGAUAAUUAUAAGUUAUUUAAUGGCCGCGGUAUUUAUGACCGUGCAAAGGUAGCAUAAUCAUUAGUUUUUUAAUUGAAGGCUUGUAUGAAUGGUUGGACAAAAGGGAGACUGUCUUAUCUUUGAUAAAGAUUGAAUUUAACUUUUAAGUGAAAAGGCUUAAAUUAUUCAGAGGGACGAUAAGACCCUAUAAAACUUUAUAAAAAAAAAUUAAUUAAAUAUUUAUUUUAAAGAAUUAUAUUUAAAUUUUAUUAAGUUGGGGUAACUGAGGUAUAAUUAUUAUUAAUUGCUUAAAAAUUAUGAACAAAUAUGUUUGAAUAUAGUUAAUGACCCUUUAUUAAAGAUUUAAAGAUUAAGUUACUUUAGGGAUAACAGUGUUAUUUUUUUUAAGAGUCCGUAUUGAAAAAAGAGUUUGCGACCUCGAUGUUGAAUUAAAAAUUUCUAUAUAGUGCAGCUAUUAUAUAAGAAGGUCUGUUCGACCUUUAAAUUUUUACAUGAUUUGAGUUCAGACCGGUGUAAACC
rnacentral:rRNA from 1 species